GGGUUGUGAGGUUAAGCGACUAAGCGUACACGGUGGAUGCCCUGGCAGUCAGAGGCGAUGAAGGACGUGCUAAUCUGCGAUAAGCGUCGGUAAGGUGAUAUGAACCGUUAUAACCGGCGAUUUCCGAAUGGGGAAACCCAGUGUGAUCCGUCACACUAUCAUUAACUGAAUCCAUAGGUUAAUGAGGCGAACCGGGGGAACUGAAACAUCUAAGUACCCCGAGGAAAAGAAAUCAACCGAGAUUCCCCCAGUAGCGGCGAGCGAACGGGGAGGAGCCCAGAGCCUGAAUCAGUAUGUGUGUUAGUGGAAGCGUCUGGAAAGGCGUGCGAUACAGGGUGACAGCCCCGUACACAAAAAUGCACAUGCUGUGAGCUCGAUGAGUAGGGCGGGACACGUGGUAUCCUGUCUGAAUAUGGGGGGACCAUCCUCCAAGGCUAAAUACUCCUGACUGACCGAUAGUGAACCAGUACCGUGAGGGAAAGGCGAAAAGAACCCCGGCGAGGGGAGUGAAAAAGAACCUGAAACCGUGUACGUACAAGCAGUGGGAGCCUCUUUAAUGGGGUGACUGCGUACCUUUUGUAUAAUGGGUCAGCGACUUAUAUUCUGUAGCAAGGUUAACCGAAUAGGGGAGCCGAAGGGAAACCGAGUCUUAACUGGGCGUUAAGUUGCAGGGUAUAGACCCGAAACCCGGUGAUCUAGCCAUGGGCAGGUUGAAGGUUGGGUAACACUAACUGGAGGACCGAACCGACUAAUGUUGAAAAAUUAGCGGAUGACUUGUGGCUGGGGGUGAAAGGCCAAUCAAACCGGGAGAUAGCUGGUUCUCCCCGAAAGCUAUUUAGGUAGCGCCUCGUGAAUUCAUCUCCGGGGGUAGAGCACUGUUUCGGCAAGGGGGUCAUCCCGACUUACCAACCCGAUGCAAACUGCGAAUACCGGAGAAUGUUAUCACGGGAGACACACGGCGGGUGCUAACGUCCGUCGUGAAGAGGGAAACAACCCAGACCGCCAGCUAAGGUCCCAAAGUCAUGGUUAAGUGGGAAACGAUGUGGGAAGGCCCAGACAGCCAGGAUGUUGGCUUAGAAGCAGCCAUCAUUUAAAGAAAGCGUAAUAGCUCACUGGUCGAGUCGGCCUGCGCGGAAGAUGUAACGGGGCUAAACCAUGCACCGAAGCUGCGGCAGCGACACUAUGUGUUGUUGGGUAGGGGAGCGUUCUGUAAGCCGUUGAAGGUGUGCUGUGAGGCAUGCUGGAGGUAUCAGAAGUGCGAAUGCUGACAUAAGUAACGAUAAAGCGGGUGAAAAGCCCGCUCGCCGGAAGACCAAGGGUUCCUGUCCAACGUUAAUCGGGGCAGGGUGAGUCGACCCCUAAGGCGAGGCCGAAAGGCGUAGUCGAUGGGAAACAGGUUAAUAUUCCUGUACUUGGUGUUACUGCGAAGGGGGGACGGAGAAGGCUAUGUUGGCCGGGCGACGGUUGUCCCGGUUUAAGCGUGUAGGCUGAUUUUCCAGGCAAAUCCGGAGAAUCAAGGCUGAGGCGUGAUGACGAGGCACUACGGUGCUGAAGCAACAAAUGCCCUGCUUCCAGGAAAAGCCUCUAAGCAUCAGGUAACAUCAAAUCGUACCCCAAACCGACACAGGUGGUCAGGUAGAGAAUACCAAGGCGCUUGAGAGAACUCGGGUGAAGGAACUAGGCAAAAUGGUGCCGUAACUUCGGGAGAAGGCACGCUGAUAUGUAGGUGAAGCGACUUGCUCGUGGAGCUGAAAUCAGUCGAAGAUACCAGCUGGCUGCAACUGUUUAUUAAAAACACAGCACUGUGCAAACACGAAAGUGGACGUAUACGGUGUGACGCCUGCCCGGUGCCGGAAGGUUAAUUGAUGGGGUCAGCCGCAAGGCGAAGCUCUUGAUCGAAGCCCCGGUAAACGGCGGCCGUAACUAUAACGGUCCUAAGGUAGCGAAAUUCCUUGUCGGGUAAGUUCCGACCUGCACGAAUGGCGUAAUGAUGGCCAGGCUGUCUCCACCCGAGACUCAGUGAAAUUGAACUCGCUGUGAAGAUGCAGUGUACCCGCGGCAAGACGGAAAGACCCCGUGAACCUUUACUAUAGCUUGACACUGAACAUUGAGCCUUGAUGUGUAGGAUAGGUGGGAGGCUUUGAAGUGUGGACGCCAGUCUGCAUGGAGCCGACCUUGAAAUACCACCCUUUAAUGUUUGAUGUUCUAACGUGGACCCGUGAUCCGGGUUGCGGACAGUGUCUGGUGGGUAGUUUGACUGGGGCGGUCUCCUCCUAAAGAGUAACGGAGGAGCACGAAGGUUGGCUAAUCCUGGUCGGACAUCAGGAGGUUAGUGCAAUGGCAUAAGCCAGCUUGACUGCGAGCGUGACGGCGCGAGCAGGUGCGAAAGCAGGUCAUAGUGAUCCGGUGGUUCUGAAUGGAAGGGCCAUCGCUCAACGGAUAAAAGGUACUCCGGGGAUAACAGGCUGAUACCGCCCAAGAGUUCAUAUCGACGGCGGUGUUUGGCACCUCGAUGUCGGCUCAUCACAUCCUGGGGCUGAAGUAGGUCCCAAGGGUAUGGCUGUUCGCCAUUUAAAGUGGUACGCGAGCUGGGUUUAGAACGUCGUGAGACAGUUCGGUCCCUAUCUGCCGUGGGCGCUGGAGAACUGAGGGGGGCUGCUCCUAGUACGAGAGGACCGGAGUGGACGCAUCACUGGUGUUCGGGUUGUCAUGCCAAUGGCACUGCCCGGUAGCUAAAUGCGGAAGAGAUAAGUGCUGAAAGCAUCUAAGCACGAAACUUGCCCCGAGAUGAGUUCUCCCUGAGACUUUAAGUCUCCUGAAGGAACGUUGAAGACGACGACGUUGAUAGGCCGGGUGUGUAAGCGCAGCGAUGCGUUGAGCUAACCGGUACUAAUGAACCGUGAGGCUUAACCUUACAACGCCGAAG
rnacentral:rRNA from 1 species